CCCUUAGAUGUUCUGGGCCGCACGCGUGCUACACUGACCGGCGCAACAAGUUUCUUUCCUUGGCUCGAUAGGCCUGGGUAAUCUUUGAACGCCGGUCGUGAUGGGGAUAGAUCCUUGCAAUUUUUGAUCUUCAACGAGGAAUUCCUAGUAAAUGCGAGUCAUCAUCUCGCGUUGAUACGUCCCUGCCCUUUGUACACACCGCCCGUCGCACCUACCGAUUGAAUGGUCCGGUGAAGCCUCGGGAUUGCGAAUGCUUCGUGCGGACGCGAGAACUUGGCUAAACCUUACCAUUUAGAGGAAGGUGAAGUCGUAACA
rnacentral:rRNA from 1 species